CACGUAGGCGGAUUGUUAAGUCGGGGGUGAAAUCCUGGAGCUCAACUCCAGAACUGCCUUCGAUACUGGCGAUCUCGAGUUCGGGAGAGGUGAGUGGAACUGCGAGUGUAGAGGUGAAAUUCGUAGAUAUUCGCAAGAACACCAGUGGCGAAGGCGGCCCACUGGCCCGAUACUGACGCUGAGGUGCGAAAGCGUGGGGAGCAAACA
rnacentral:rRNA from 1 species